AUAUUGAAAUGCAUGGUGGGAAAUCUAAGUGUAAUUCUUAGGCUGUACCUGCAACCGUAAAGUCGGAGCGCCACCCAGUAUAGUCCGCUGUUGAACGAGGGCCAGGGAAAGUCUAGUUCUACUAAUAAUAAU
rnacentral:ncRNA from 1 species